UACGUAGGGUGCAAGCGUUGUCCGGAAUUAUUGGGCGUAAAGAGCUCGUAGGCGGUUUGUUGCGUCGGCUGUGAAAUCCCGAGGCUCAACCUCGGGUCUGCAGUCGAUACGAGCAAACUAGAGUGUUGCAGGGGAGACUGGAAUUCCUGGUGUAGCGGUGAAAUGCGCAGAUAUCAGGAGGAACACCGGUGGCGAAGGCGGGUCUCUGGGCCACUACUGACGUGAGAAGCGAAAGCAUGGGGGAGCGAACAGG
rnacentral:rRNA from 1 species